UACAUCUGGCUGAUGUCUUGAUUCAAGCAUUGUGUUCCUCAGGGACAACUUUCUGCAAGGAUCUGUCUAAUCUGCCUGUCCCCAGUCUGAUUGUUUGGUGGGAAGGACAGAACCUGGAUGCCCACAAGAUGGAAGACAGCUUCCACUGAAAAAGGUACUGAUGGAAACACUUGGAAGAUUCUCCCCAAAUGGGAACACAAGAGAUUCAGCUUUUCCUGCCUUUAUAAGCUAUGUUUUCCUUUUGUCGAGAGGCUUAUUCUCGCUGAUGAGAUAAGAAUGGGAAGAUGCAUUGAUUUCUGAGCACUCUCUCUCUCUCUCUCUCUC
ensembl:lncRNA